rnacentral:rRNA from 1 species
GACGAACGCUGGCGGCAUGCCUUACACAUGCAAGUCGAACGGUAACAGGCCGCAAGGUGCUGACGAGUGGCGAACGGGUGAGUAAUGCAUCGGAACGUGCCCAGUCGUGGGGGGUAACUGCUCGAAAGAGCAGCUAAUACCGCAUACGACCUGAGGGUGAAAGCGGGGGACCGUAAGGCCUCGCGCGAUUGGAGCGGCCGAUGUCAGAUUAGCUAGUUGGUGGGGUAAAGGCCUACCAAGGCAACGAUCUGUAGUUGGUCUGAGAGGACGACCAGCCACACUGGGACUGAGACACGGCCCAGACUCCUACGGGAGGCAGCAGUGGGGAAUUUUGGACAAUGGGCGCAAGCCUGAUCCAGCAAUGCCGCGUGCAGGAAGAAGGCCUUCGGGUUGUAAACUGCUUUUGUCAGGGAAGAAAUCUUCUGGGCUAAUACCCCGGGAGGAUGACGGUACCUGAAGAAUAAGCACCGGCUAACUACGUGCCAGCCGCCGCGGUAA